UGAACACCGUCCUGCCGAGGGGAGAGAGCAUCCUGUGACACAGUCCAGACGCAAGCAGUGGGGCUGGCAGCCCCCCCCCCUACGCUGAGGUUUUCCUCCAGAAAAUCCUCCCCGCACCUCUGCUGCAGCCCUCCUUUUUCCUCCCUUGGGGAUACCCACCGCCCUAGCCUGAGGAUCAGAGGAACAGCGGGAGGAUGGUGGCAGCAGCGAGAAGGGAAGAUUUUCAGCUGAUUCUCCGACGCCAAAAGAUUAUUAAUCGCUUAAAGAGCAGAACAUCAAACAUCGCCCCUUGCUCUAAUUUCCCUGGGGUUUGCCUGUGGGCAGGGUGCCUGUGCCAGCCAGCCCGGCAUCCUGAGGGUUCCCCAGCACCCAGAAUCUCCAUGGGCCUCUACCAGAGCAGCCCAAGGCCACAGCACCCCACCCCCGAUGCGGUCCCAUGUCCCAGGGCUCCAAGCCCAGGAGCACGGUGAGCCCCCAGGAAGCAUCUUCUCUGUGUUCACACCCAGCAACUUGCCAAGCAGAAGCCUCCCGGAACAAAUGAUUCCCUUCCCUGCCCUGGCCUGCAGCAAGCUGGAAGUGAGACACAGGAAAAUCCAGGAAAACAUGUAAAACAGUGAUUUCAAUGUUUCUAAUAUUAUCUCCAUUGGGAAUAAAGAAAGGGAGAUUACAGCUUAUUCUGACCCCAGAGUGGUAGAGUGUCCAGCUCAGCUCUGGGUGAAGGUGUUGCCCAGCCUUCGUGUUUCCAAACCAGUUCAGCCAUGCCUAAUUGUAGGCACUAUGCUAUGAGACCUAACAGAAGUACUUCGUCUUUAAUUAAUUUCCAAGUUUGCUCUCUGAGUGCUGUGCCAUAUGGUAUUGAUUUUUCAGCUUGGUAUGACAGCACUUGCCAUGAAAGAAA